CACGGGGGGAGCAAGCGUUGUUCGGAAUCACUGGGCGUAAAGGGCGUGUAGGCGGUUAGGUAAGUGGGAUGUGAAAGCCCCCGGCUCACCCGGGGACCUGCAUUCCAAACUGCUUGACUUGAGUAUGGGAGAGGAUAGGGGAAUUCCUGGUGUAGCGGUGAAAUGCGUAGAUAUCAGGAGGAACACCGGUGGCGAAGGCGCCUAUCUGGCCCAAUACUGACGCUGAGGCGCGAAAGCUAGGGGAGCAAACGGG
rnacentral:rRNA from 1 species